rnacentral:tRNA from 1 species
GCCUGGGUGGCUCAGUCGGUUGAGCAUCCGACUUCAGCUCAGGUCACGAUCUCACGGUUCGUGAGUUCGAGCCCCACGUCAGGCU